rnacentral:rRNA from 1 species
GAGUUUGAUCCUGGCUCAGAACGUAAGCGGGCGGCACGCCUAACACAUGCAAGUCGAACGAAGUAGCAAUACUUAGUGGCAGACGGGUGAGUAACAUGUGGGUAUCUGCCCUUUGGCCUGGAAUAACACGAGGAAACUUGUGCUAAUACCGGAUAAGUCUUUACGGAGAAAGCUUUAUGCACCAUUGGAUGAGCCCGCACUUGAUUAGUUUGUUGGUAGGGUAAUGGCCUACCAAGACUAUGAUCAAUAGCUGAUUUGAGAGGAUGAUCAGCCACAUUGGGACUGAGACACGGCCCAAACUCCUACGGGAGGCAGCAGUGGGGAAUCUUGCACAAUGGAGGAAACUCUGAUGCAGCGAUGCCGCGUGAGUGAAGAAGGCCCUUGGGUUGUAAAGCUCUUUCGUCGGGGAAGAAAAUGACUGUACCCGAAUAAGAAGGUCCGGCUAACUUCGUGCCAGCAGCCGCGGUAAUACGAAGGGACCUAGCGUAGUUCGGAAUUACUGGGCUUAAAGAGUUCGUAGGUGGUUGAAAAAGUUGGUGGUGAAAUGCCCAGAGCUUAACUCUGGAACUGCCAUCAAAACUUUUCAGCUAGAGUAUGAUAGAGGAAAGCAGAAUUUCUAGUGUAGAGGUGAAAUUCGUAGAUAUUAGAAAGAAUACCAAUUGCGAAGGCAGCUCUCUGGAUCAUUACUGACACUGAGGAACGAAAGCAUGGGUAGCGAAGAGGAUUAGAUACCCUCGUAGUCCAUGCCGUAAACGAUGUGUGUUAGACGUUGGAAAUUUAUUUUCAGUGUCGCAGGAAAACCGAUAAACACACCGCCUGGGGAGUACGACCGCAAGGUUAAAACUCAAAUGAAUUUGACGGGGACCCGCACAAGUAGUGGAGCAUGUGGUUUAAUUUGAAGAUACGCGCAGAACCUUACCAACACUUGACAUGUUCGUCGCGACUCUAAGAGAUUAGAGUUUUCGGUUCGGCCGGACGAAACACAGGUGCUGCAUGGCUGUCGUCAGCUCGUGUCGUGAGAUGUUGGGUUAAGUCCCGCAACGAGCGCAACCCUCACUUUUAGUUGCCAUCAUUAAGUUGGGCACUCUGAAAGAACUGCCAGUGAUAAGCUGGAGGAAGGUGGGGAUGACGUCAAGUCCUCAUGGCCCUUACGUGUUGGGCUACACACGUGCUACAAUGGCAUCUACAACAGGAAGCAAAACGGCAACGUUAAGCAAAUCCCGAAAAGAUGCCUCAGUUCGGAUUGCACUCUGCAACUCGAGUGCAUGAAGCUGGAAUUACUAGUAAUCGUGGAUCAGCGUGCCACGGUGAAUGCGUUCCCGGGUCUUGUAUACACCGCCCGUCACACCAUGGAAGUUGGUUACACCUUAAGGCAAAGCUUAUACCUUUGACUACGGUACGAUCAGCAACUGGGGUGAAGUUUUUUCGGGUAACC